UAAAUUUGAGAAUAUUUAUAAAUUUUGUGGUUAUAGUCCAAAAGUUAGAACUAAAAUUUGGAAUUGUUUCGAAGAGAACGUUUCUAAUUCUUUCAAAGAAAAGUUAAAAGAUUUCGUUUGGUGUUUAGAAAAAAGAUCCUUUACAGAAGUUAUGCAGAUGAUUUGCUCGUCAAACGAAGAAAUAGAUGAUGAUAUGGAUAUGACAUUUUGCUUUAGUUUCUUGGAUAUGCGUAGAAAUGAGUAUAACGGUGUACGCGAUCUCGCAGAGAUAUGUACAUUUAUUAAUGAUUUUAAUGAUUACGAAUAAAAUACUUUUG